CCUACGGGAGUCAGCAGUGGGGAAUAUUGCACAAUGGGGGAAACCCUGAUGCAGCGACGCCGCGUGAGUGAAGAAGUAAUUCGUUAUGUAAAGCUCUAUCAGCAGGGAAGAAAAUGACGGUACCUGUGGAAGAAGCCCCGGCUACUAUGGGUCAGGCGCCGCGGUAAUCCGUAGGGGGCGAGCGGUAUCCGGAUUUACUGGGUGUAACGGGAGCGUAGACUGGAGUGCAAGUCUGGAGUGAAAGGUGGGGGCUCAACCCCCGGACUGCUCUUGAAACUGUACGGCUUGAGUGCAGGAGAGGUAAGUGGAAUUCCUAGUGUAGCGGUGAAAUGCGUAGAUAUUAGGAGGAACACCAGUGGCGAAGGCGGCUUACUGGACUGUAACUGACGUUGAGGCUCGAAAGCGUGGGGAGCAAACAGGAUUAGAUACCCCAGUAGUC
rnacentral:rRNA from 1 species